CGCAUAUACAACUCCUUCCCGCCGCCACCUCCUGCCCCGCGCCGCCCGCCCCACACCGCCUCGAUCGGGACCGCGUCCCUCCCCAAAUGACAGCGAUGAUGGAGGGCACCGCCCAGCUCCUGGCCGACGGAUUCGCUGGCUCCCCGCUCCUCGGGGCCAGCCCCUCCCCGUGUCGAGUCGAGCAUCGACUUGGAGGCCCCUUGGGGCUGCCGCCGGUGCGGAAGUCCCGCGCGGCCGUGCGGGAUGGUGACCGAGCGGCGGGGCCCGUGGUGCGACGCUCGAUGGAUGGCCUGCACAACGCGGAUGACUGCUUCUCUCCCAGGAGGGCCAUAGGCAGCCACUACAUGUCGGAGCUGUUGCAGGAGCACCAGAAGCUUGUCCUGUUCACACAGGUGCUACCAAUCUGCAUCAAACUGUUGGGCAACUGUGAGAGCCUGGAUUCACUCCCUCGCCGCCGCCCGGUCUACCAUUAUUGGCCUAGAGAAGAAAAAGGUUCCAUGAGGGUGUCUAUUACAAAAGUGGAGAAAGAGCUCGCCUACCAUGCAUGUUGCCUGGUCCGAUGAGCAGUGCUACGCCAAGUGCCCUGUCAGAGUGCAGCCGCACAACGCUGCCUGCUGUUGAGGACCCCGGAGCCUAGACAGUUAGCUUGGCAACUUCCAGCCCCCCACCGCCUUUCUUGACAGCCACGGCACCCAUCUUUUCGUCUAUGCCUCAUUGGAUGCACUUCCAUUGUAUGUAAUGUUAGAUAUACACAAUCAUAGAUACAUAUAUGAUCUUCCACCUCGGCUCCUAUACUGAUAAGAUUUGUGUUGAUACAUGAUUCUCAACAAAGUGUGCUACCAAACUUUUUCACGAAAAGUGUAGUACCAGGUGGUGUGAUAUCAUGUCCUUAGCAACGCCCCCGAUGGAAUGACCACGACCAUGUUGUUGCCUGGAGUGUUUUUUCAUGAUGAUGUCGCUAUUCGCCAUCCCACAAUUUAUGCGGUGGAGCGUCAACGACCUCGGCGUGUUGCAGGAGAAGACCAUGAAUAUCGACAAGAAAGAUGUUGAUCCAGGAAGGUGCAACACUGUGAUGUGAGUUGAACACAAGCAUGGCCUACAAUCUCGUCCCCCACCAUCCAUGUGCCUUGCAAGCAGCAAUUGUUCACAUCCUUGAUAUUUGUCACUGCCCUCAUCUCAUCUAUCCCGACAGUCUCAGUGUCCAGGCAAGGUAUGUCUAUGUCAGUUGAACCGUCACUCGAGUUACAACAAUUCCAAUCUUUUUCCUAUAUCUGCAAUUGGGUGGUCUAUGGUAUGGACCAGUUUAUAAGCAACCAUGGUGUACAUGAAUCUCUGUUGGUGUGAACUGUCAAAAGCAUUUCCUACUAUUUCUACCUCUGUUUCAUCUUCUAAAUCUAGAGUCUAGACUUGGAUAUUAUCUAGCAACAAUCUGUUCAUGAGAAAAGCAUGGCCGAGAGUCAUACUAGAUGUAUGCAUAAUACCAGGAUAAGAUAUUUACCUUCGAUUAUCCCAGAAGGGAAACAUAAUACUAAACUACCAUAAAAUAUAUGUGAGGGCUUACAUCAUCAUUGAGGUCAAAUUUGUAUCUUUAUUAUCACCCUGAUAAAACAACGUUUUGCUAAUUGACUUCAUCUUAUUUCAACUUUGUUAGUUCAGUUCACGUGCUUUGUUAGAGACCAACCCCAAUGUGUAUGCUACAACCACUGAAAGAAGUAUGUUGCCUUGAUUUUUUUAAUUCAGUUAAUUUGUAUUAAUUGUGUGGCAUCAUCAUGCAAGGUAAAUGCAGAGCUAUACUUUCUAUUCUCAUGCCUUCUAUUAAAAUCAUGCAGAUGCUCCGGUCAUCGUUGUUCAUAUGUUUUGACUCUUGUCGAGCCUCUUCUGUGAGGCACACAUAGUUUGGGAGUAUGCCUAUGGCAAUUUAUCUAUUUCCAUGAUUGAAGAUACAUUUUUAAAUUGAACAAAACAAAUUAUAUGAGAGGCAUAUGUUUUGUUUUUGUUGUCCCAAACUACACAGAGCCUUGCAAAUUUCUAGGACUCUGUUUCCUCUUGGAACUCUCCUACUAUGCAUUCUUGAUCAUUGUCGAACAUUGAUCGACAGACUGCUCUGUUUACAAACUCUAUUUUUUCUAGGUUUUCUUGUGAAAAUUGAUGAUACCCCAAUGCAGAGCCUUUUGUAGCCUUGUUGCUGGUGACAGAUUUCAGACGAUAACCUAAAUGUAGGCAUUAAACACAACAAGGUCAGGAUAUGAUAAUGGCCCAAGGCCGUGCCGACAAAUCUGGAAAUACUCUAGAACAAAAUAAUAAUCUGGCAGUGGCCCAAGAGAGUUGUUAGUUCUUGGAUUUUUAUACCCUCAUGUUAAUACUUAACUGUUACAAUUUUUAUUGUUCUUCUCAUUAUA